rnacentral:rRNA from 1 species
AUGGCGCUGGUCGACGGUAGAACCGAGCUGAAGCCGAGCCCUCCAGCGGCGGCCAGCGACAUGUGGCAGCUGUGGGCAAAGAACGGCGAGUGCACUCAGGGGGUUACCUUUGAGGUCACCGUCAUGGCGGCCAAGAUCGCCUAUGAGAACGCCGCAUACAUCGAGAACGUGGUCGCGAAUGUGUGGGGGUUCAAUUUCGUGGGGUACUACAGCUGCUGGAACAAGUUCCUGGAGGUGAGCGCGACCCAGGCGUUCGUGAUGACCGACCGCGGCAAGGACGCGGGCAUGGUCAUGGUGGCUUUCCGUGGCACGCAGGUGUUCAGCACGCAGGACUGGUCGACGGACGUGAACCUGUCGUGGUUGCGCCUAGGCGGCAUGGGCCACGUCCACGCCGGCUUCCUCAAGGCGCUCGGCCUCCAGGAGGAGGACGGCGAGGACGCCGCGCGCGCCUUCCCCAGGGACGCCCCCGCCGUCGUCCCCGCGGGGAAGGUCGUCGCCUACUACGAGCUCCGGAGGGUGCUUCGCGAGCUGCUUGCGGAGCACCCGAGGGCCCGCGUCGUCGUCACGGGCCACAGCCUCGGGGGCGCGCUUGCCGUCCUCUUCCCGGCCGUGCUGGCGCUGCACGGGGAGGGGGACAUCCUCGGCAGGCUCGGGGCCGUGCACACCUACGGGCAGCCGCGCGUCGGGGACGAGGCGUUCGUCGACUUCUUCCAAGCCAAGGUGGCGGCGUCCUACUGGCGCGUGGUGUACAGGUACGACGUUGUGCCGCGGGUGCCGUUCGACGCGCCGCCGGUGGCAGGAUUCAGCCACGGUGGGACGUGUGUGUACUACGACGGGUGGUACGACGGGCGGGUGCUCGGCGGGGAGGAGGUGCCGAACCCGAAUUACAUCGGCCUGCGGCACGCGCCAUCCAUGUAUCGCAACGCGCUGGGCGACCUGCUGAAAGCCAUGUUCCUAUGGGUCAAGGCCGGGGGUGAGUACCAUGAGGGCGCCGUGUCCCUGCUCUACCGCGGCGCCAUCGGCAUGCUCGUCCCCGGCGUUGCGUCACACAGCCCACGCGACUACGUCAACGCCAUCCGCCUCGGCCGCAUUGGCACCGCCGCCGGUUAA